rnacentral:lncRNA from 1 species
UGCUACUGUUGCCAUUUUUCAUUAAUACUGGCUUUUGGUGGAAAUAACAUGAAUGCUCAGCCUCUCUAUUUGGUUGCUACCGGCAUAGCCAACUAAUACUGGAAUAGCCUAUGACUAAAUGAAGUUUGCUUAGACCAAUACAUAAUCUUAGUUUAAACAAGCCAAAUUUAGACUCUGUGCAAGCAGACCAAGGCUAAAACCGGUUUCUUGCUUAAUCCCGAUUUAAAUUAGUCUUUGUUUAUACAACCGGCCGUAAGGGUUUAAGAGAGAAGCUAGUGCCAAAAUAGAACCCAAUUCUCUUCAUCAUACUGAGAAAUGACAAAAGAUUACUAUGUCCCUUUACUAUUGCUAUUAUUAUUAUGUACUGUUAUAAAGGGCUAUGGUCUGGGGUAUGCAUAGUAUCCAUACAAAAUGAAGACCUAAAUAUCACAGAGGACUAUAUGAAAGUGAGUAAAAGAAAUUGUAAAACCAAAUUGUUAAUACAUGAAUCAGACAUAAUGAAUGGGUGUUUAAACACAGUACUAGCAACUAUAUUUUACAAGCAGCAGAUAAAAGUGGACUGGCAGGAAGCUAAAGUUAUUUACAAUGAGGAGAAACUGCAAGAAGGGCUUGUGAGUUUAUUACAAUUUUAGAAAGAAGCAAGUACAGGAGCAUGAUUAACUAAUAACUAGAAGAGGGAUUAUGUAAUGCCUGGAAAUUAGCAGUCAAGAAAAAUAUAUAGGAUUAUCUGUCCAAUGAAUGUUCCUACAAAGAGAAGUACAAAGCUGAUAAUUACUCUAAAGACUAUUACUAAAUUUUUAUUAUUUUGUUUGGUUUCAAAUUGGU